GACGUAGGGCGCGAGCGUUGUCCGGAUUUAUUGGGCGUAAAGAGCUCGUUGGCGGCUUGUUGCGUCGGCUGUGAAAUCCCAUGGCUCAACUGUGGGCUUGCAGCCGAUACGGGCGGGCUAGAGUUCGGUAGGGGAGACUGGAAUUCCUGGUGUAGCGGUGAGAUGCGCAGAUAUCAGGAGGAACACCGGUGGCGAAGGCGGCUCACUGGCCCGAUACUGACGCUGAGGCACGAAAGCGUGGGGAGCAAACAGG
rnacentral:rRNA from 1 species